AACCUUCCAAAAUCACCCAGAAAACAAUUGAAAUUUUAGAAAGAAAAUCUUAAAAAUCAGAUUCAGGAUUUAUUGUUGAUAGAUCGGAGAGAUUUACAAGAUUGAUUGACAUAUAAACGAUCAGAUAAAAUCAAAAAUUUAAUCGAAACUAGAUAUGUUUGGAAUUUGAAUUUGGUGUUUUCUUUCUGUUUUAAUCAACAAUCAGUUGAUCUCGAGAUUGAUGAUUCAUCUCUGAAAGAGUGGAUGACAAUGAGUUCCACAUUAUGAAGACUUUGGUGUAAUCUCAGGCUGUAACCGGUCUAAUGAAAUUGAGCAGAAAAGAAAUAUCAUUCCACAUCUUAAAUGCAAGUGAAGAAUGGAAGCUUUAGAAACAAACAGAUGUGGUGUUUGUGUAGAAGCUAGAUUGUAGAACUCUUGGUAUCGAACCCGGUACUCUUCUAACAGCAUUGGCAGUGGUGAGUACCGAAGCAGGGACCCGUCAACUGACAAGUACAAGAAAGCAAUGAAGGAUGUGGUUGAUAGCGAUUUCAGAGCUUUGGUGGCUCAGCUCAUGCAAGUUGAAAUCUACCAACAGGUAAGGAAGAUGGCAAAAGAAAGUUAAUUGGAAUAUGUACAUCUUUCACAUGGGAGGAUGCCACAUGCAUUGAACCAGAUAUAUGCGAGGGUGGAGGAAUGAACCCUGGUGGACAUGUUAAGAUUAAGUGUUUCUUUUGUCAUCUUUGUCAUGGUAAGAGUCACUAGUCAGUAUUUCUAAUGAAUUUUCUUGGAAACGUAUUACGUACUUUGGUGUUAACAACCUUAUUAUAUUGCCAUAUUAAUUGGAAAUAGUAUUGUCGAUGUCUUUAGAGUUUUCA